rnacentral:lncRNA from 1 species
CCCCCCGGCGCUGCCCCCGCGCCGCCCGGCCCGCCACGGCCCGUGGACACGAAAGCCAGAAAUGGUGAGAUGACUGGUGCCUCGCUGACGCUCACAGAGCAAAACCUUCCAUAGCCCGGGGGUGAGACUUGCAAAACUGUCCUUCACGGUCACCCCGGAAAGUAGGAGGCUUUUUCCGCAGACGCAAAAAAAAAAAAAAAAAAAAAGGCCUUCCAUCCCCCUCAGGACUGGGUUUGAAUUGCUUUUCAUCUGGAGUGGCAGUGAUUCAGCGACCCCCUUCUCAGCAGCAGGCAGUGACAGAGACAGGAGACGAAAAACACAGCGAAUGAAUCAGACGCAUUUAGAGAGACAAGAGGCAGGCUGCCCACCCAGAAGCACCAUCUCACCCAUCAGGAAUAGCCCCCAAGUUAAGGAUCCCAGAGAUUCCACGCAAGCAGCGACAUGGAAAAGAAGCUGAUGCUACAGAGGGAUAUGAAUGCAGGAAGAGAUGGAAGAUGCCCACGACUGAGAACUCCUCUCUGAAGAGACCAACAGGAACACAUUUAUCAGAGGAGCUGCCGUCUGAGCCCAGGAGGAGCCUAUCUAGAGGUCAGUGUCCACCAGCUCCUGGUAAUUUGCCUCUCAGUCUCUU